rnacentral:ncRNA from 2 species
UGAUGUAAUUGAAUAGAAAUGCGUAUAAUUAAGGGGAUAUGGCCCACAGUUUCUACCAGACCACCGUAAAUGGUUUGACUACGCAGUAAUUAUAUUUGUAU